rnacentral:ribozyme from 13 species
AAAGAAAAAAGUUGAAAUGGCACAAGGUUGGCUACAUUGUUAUCAUGUAUUGUUGAUGAUUGAUUUCAAUUAACAUUUUUAUUGUUCUUCGUUCUUCGAAUUCGAUGUUGUUAUUACAGAAGAAGAGGAAGCGGUCGCUGCACCUCAAGAUGACCUCGCUGCGAGAUUAGCAGCGCUUAGAGAUUAACUUUUAUCUUUCAUGUCGCUUAUGGUUUUUGUGACAGUUUUGGCAUUUGUAGUUAUUUAUUUGUAGCCUCUCGCUCGAUCACAAAUCCAAAGUUCAGGACGAAACCUUUUUUGACUUAGAUCAGGAAUGAAAACAACAAAAAACAUGAAAAACAGCCACCA